AGUUGCCCUANCUAGCAGGCAGGCCGCCUUUAACUGACCUGGGAAGCUAAGCUGGCCGAGGGCGGGUCAGAAUUUGGAUGGGAGACCACCCAGAAAGAGCAGGCGGCAGAGACUA
rnacentral:rRNA from 1 species